AUAUAAAGAAUACACGAUUUUUUUUUUAAAAAUGAUAGAAGUAUAGCUCUAAACCGAAGUUAACCGGAUCUAUCCAAAGUGACUACUACAAGCUGAUAUGAAACUGCAGAAGAAAGCAACAUCGCUAGAGUGAAACUUUGACUUUGGCUGCUACAUCGCAAGGUGGCUGUUUCACCAUCGGAGAGGCAUUUUUUUCUCAAAACGACGUGAAAGAGUACGUAAAAAAGGAAACAAUGUUAAAAAGUUGAUCUCCUUAAAGCCAUAAAUCUCAUUAAAUAUCUAGAGAAAUAAUCUAUUUAUGGACUAUACUUCAUUAUGGAGAUUAAUUUGGAUUUUUCUAUAAAUUUGAAAUAUCUCUAAUUUAAUAAACAAAAUAUCAAAAGAAAUAAAAAAAUUUGGAAAUCUUCGAAAAGAUUUUGUGACAUUCCGACCUUUUAUGUACAUGAAAAUGUUUUUUACCAGAAUUAUUUGAUUAUUUAUAUUAUUAAUGUAUUUAUUUUCUGAAUAUUUUUCCAUAAAAAUUUAGAAUUAAUUAAUCAUGAUUAAUCUGAAAUAAUAGAAAGAUAGAUGAUUUAUUGGAAAAUCAUUUUCAAUGCCUUUUCGAGCCUAAAAUACAAAAAAAAACACACGUGGUGAUUGUAGUAUAAGUAAAUAAAUCUUUCGAACUUUUCGAACUUAAUAUUCUACCCGUUACACAAGAUGAAAUCUACAUGCCGAAAGAGCGGACAUAAAAUCCAUAAACUAUGGACGGUUAGAGUUUAGAUGUAUGCAUAAGUAAAGUCCCAUAGCAAGGAAAAUGCUUGAAAAUUUUCAUAGACAUUUUAAAAACCUAGAAGGAAAAGAACAAAACAAAUCACACGGAUGAAGAGUAACCAGCAAUGCAAGCAAAAGGGAGAAACAAGCUUUCCAAGAGAGAAAAAGGGAGCAACAAAAUAGAAUGUGCAUCAAAUCUAGGUUUAUAGUUGACAUUGGCCCAUAGAGAAUAAAGUGUGUACUACAAGUCUACAGCAAAACCAUUGAUUCUUUUUGCCAUUCUUAUUGAGAGUCGCGGUGGCUUUUCUAUUCAUUUUUUCUUUGUAGCACUGGCUUUUCUACUCACUCGUCUUGUAAAUAUACAUAUUCGUUUACUACGUACUAAUAAAUAUUCAACAGGCGGACUUUUGUAACAUCUCCUUAGAUGUUUUUACACAACUUGUAAGAAAACUCUUAAAAUAUUAUUCAGAUCGAAUGGAUUUUAUCCUUUGUACGGAGGUGUGAUGGCAAAAUAGUAAAAAGAGACGAACGUGAAGGGCAAAAGAGAACGCGUUUGCGUCACAUCACACGCAAUGCGUAGGAAAAAGGUCGAGGGGGAUCAAGGGAGUUCCUGGAACAUCCCAAUCUCCUCUCACUCUCCGACACAUUUCUUUUUCUCUUUUAACUUUUUUAUUUUGUUUUGUUUAAGUCACUUAAUGUAAAAAAAAGAUAUAGAAAGAGAGAUAUGAGUGUUAAAAAAAGGUAAAAGAGAUAUGGAUACAAAUCUAUGUGAGUUGCAUGGAAAUCAGUAUGCCAACAGAUUGUAUUUUGGCAUAUAAAAGGUGAGGAAACAGACUAUAAAUAUAGAAACAAAUCCUUUAAAACCUUUUCUUCUGCUUUCUUGCGUUUUCAAAAUAAGUAAAAAGGGUAAAGGAGAUGAUGAUGCGAUGCGAUGGAAAGAAAACCAAUUGUCGUUCCUUUACUUUAUAGAGAUGCCACUGGCCCACAAAAAGAAAGGCUUACGUAAGAGCAAGAGACGUAGUAUGUAUAACCAAUAAUCAUGGAGGCCCACCAAACACGGUUACUCUCUUUUCUUUAUGUUCUUUAUUACCAACGGUCCAACACCAUUACUCUUCCCUUUGUUAUAUACUCAUCAUAUUCAAACUUGCAUUGUUAGUGGAGAAGUUGUUAUCAAGGUAAACUGCAAUAUUGUUAGUAGAAAAAUAACUUAUUCGGUUAAAAGAAAACUUGUAGUGCGCGUUUGCAAUUUUUUCCUAUAGUCAAAUUUGUAAAUCUAUAUAAUAUGUUUAAGUAUCAUCACGCAUUUCUAUAUGGUGCAACACAUCAUGCAUCUACAAUAAAAACAGUACUAAUGAUGAUUUGAUCAUGAGGUCAUUGAUACAUCAAGUAAGAAAAAAAGGGAGGGAUGUGAAGGAAACGUAACUGCUGUCUCUCUUCAUCUACUGUACUAUAACCAUUUACUUGACUAUUUUACUCAACACACUUUUCUAAUUUGUUCAUCUCAGUCUUCGAUCAUGUGGGCUCCACACGGUUAGACCGAAAACUACACUACCCUCUGAGAUUGAGAGCAUGAGAGACGACACAUAUCAAGUGGACAGAAAAAGGUAAAAAAGCUUACAUUUUGAUGAACUUUUGUUUGUCUUUAAAAAAAAUUCUCCCACCCAUAUGCCAUCCUUUGCUAUCCUCUGAUCUAGUUUCUCCAAAGGCUUCCUAGGCCUAAGGAACUAAUCUGUGUCGCUGCAGCCCGAAUGUGAAAUCCGCAGUGGUCGGGAAUCGAAUCCAGGUGACGGUACUCACAUGUUACAGUGCUUCUCCCUGAUAAGCUCUCUUCCGCUGAAUCCACCCUCUCAAAACUCAUGCAGAACAUAGCAUAAGCUUUUCAAGUCUCGUCUAUCUUGUGAUUCAUCUUGGUAUAAGAGCAUGGAUUCAGUCAGAUCUGCCUGAGCUGAAUUCCUGAUAAGCGUUCAAAUAAUAUUAAGAGCGUUGCCAACUGUGUACAGAUUCUUACAGGUCCCAACUUUUGAUCCUCAGGUUAACAGUGAAUCAAAGGAAGAAGUCUGUGCUUGCCAGCAACAGCUUCCUGACAAGUAGUUGUUCGCCUUAGCCUGAUAAGAAAGAGUGCUUUCAGAUUCUCAUUAUAUAUAAUAUGGCCACUCAGGGGUUAUGUAGAAUAAUACUGAAUUGAUGCUGCAAAAAAAAGUUAAAACUCAGUUAACCAUUAUUAUACCUAGAGACCCAAGUCCCAGAGGCUAUAUGAUACAUUCAUAACAACAAUUCUCUUUUAUUAAUCCCCAAACCCAAAACAUCCCUGGCUAACUGGGGCUCAACUAUAGUUUCUGAGCUCUUAAUCGCCUGGUCCUUAUUCAUUCUCGGUACCUCCCUCUCGUUUCGCAGAACCAGAGAGAGAGAGAGUUCUCGUGUCCAGCUUCUCGGGAAUCAUGAGCUCGACCCUCUUGCUCUUGGAGUUUUAACUUCUUCGUCUCCAUCAUCUCUACAAGUAUUGGUAACAGGCUUAACGGGUUUGGUUGUUUUGGAUCUGACAAUGGCCUUUUAGAUAAAGAUGGCUUGUUAGAUUUGAAUUCAGUGGGGGAAGAGGAAGAUAAAUUUGAGUUGAUUGAGGAAGAUAACGAUGAUCUAUUGUCGUAAGGAUUGUGUAGGAUUGUAGUUGCAGUGAUUUUGAAAUUGUGGAAGAAGAAGAAGAAGCAGAGGGCGUUUGACUUCCAUUUUCUUCAUUUCAAAAUUUUGUUCCGUUGUCUUUUAUCUGAUAUGUUUUUUUUUCAUCUCUAUUGGGCUCCAUUGUGGGCUCACAAUUAAUUGAUUUUGCUAUUUAUUUAUUUUCUUGAAGAAAAAAAAAACAAAAUUUGGUAUUUAUUUGAAUUUUGCUUCUGGUUUAUUCAUGUAAUUAGUGAUAAAAUUCCGUAUGUUUUAACAUGUUUGACGGUGUACUCUACAGACAUAUUAUUUAACAGAGUUUAGUUUUGUAUCCAUUUUAACUGAGGCUGUAUACGCACAUAUUCAUAUACACUGUAUUUUAGUUCUUAAUCAAAUUGGUGAAGACAUUUUCUUAGAAACUGCAAAUUUUUGUAGUUAAACGCACGGAUUACCAAACUAUAUAUGAAAACAGUAACUAAGUGUAAUGGCUACGUGUUCCAAAAAAAAAGGUGUAAUGGCUAUAAAAUAUGAAUUGUAGUGUUGGUAUAAUAAUGUUGAUGGCCUUCUGUCAUUCAGAGAUAUUCCACUUAGUAUUAAAUUAUUUUUAAGUUUAUUUCCAAAGUUUUAAAUGUCAGCAAAUAUAUAAAAUUGUUAGAUGUCAAUCUUGUCAUUAUCAACCAUUCCCAUGUUCCACUCCACUUUGAUUGCCCUGGCUUUUGAAGUUUUCAUUUUGUAGAUAAACAAACCAAAAUUACAACCUAACUGUGAACCAAACAUGUUUUAUAUUUAAAAUAAAACAAAAAUAUAUAUUAGCUGUAAAAAAUAUUUAUUCCAUAUCUUAAUAUUUAAUUCCUUGGAUGGUUUCAGAAAUAAUUACACAGUUGCAAAAUUAAAAGCUACAUCUUAAUUUUUAGGCAAAAAUCUAAAAUUACCACCUCAACCAAUAAAAUCUAAGUAACUUUUAUUUUGCUAAUAGCUGCAUUUUUAAAAAAUUAAUAAAAAUUUGAGAGAAAAUCACAGCUAAUUUAACUCACCUCUUGUUGUUAAUAGAAAACUAGAAACAGUAUAUAUUCUUUCCUAAUAAAAACGAAUAUUAAAGGUAACUAUGUAAUUAAAUAAGAUAAAAACAGCAAUAUAUGCAAUUACCAAUUAAAUAGAGAAGUGGGGAAAAUGACGACAAUGCCAUCGUCUCUUCGAAAAAGAAGAGAGAAUAGCCAAACAAUAUUCGUACCUGCCUCCAUAUAAAAUAAA